rnacentral:lncRNA from 1 species
ACAUUCUCUACGAGGCUAACCAGUAAUAGGUCUCGAAAGAGUCACGAAAGAAUGAACGCAGGAAAAUAAUGCACCAUUGAGUCUGAUGAUUGUGUGCAACUUCCAUCAAGUUGUUCUACGGAGAGCUAACUGAAGAAAUCACUCAAGUCGCUUUUCAUCAUCAGCCGCUUCUCUCUAACAACUGAUUUGCUUGUGUGUUCUUAAUAAUUUAUCGUUAUUAUAAUUCUACUUCCUCAGAAAAUAGAUUGUGAUUGCGUUUUUUACUGAUUUUAUUUAAAACAAAAGGGAAGGACGAAUGGUAGAAAAGCCUAUACGCAAAUUAUUCAAACAGAAUCUGACCACUUGUAUAAUGCAGUUUUCUUCAAUAAAGUAUCAUUAUU